rnacentral:rRNA from 1 species
GAACAUGAGAGUUUGAUCCUGGCUCAGGAUGAACGCUGGCGGCGUGCUUAACACAUGCAAGUCGAACGAAACACCUUAUUUGAUUUUCUUCGGAACUGAAGAUUUGGUGAUUGAGUGGCGGACGGGUGAGUAACGCGUGGGUAACCUGCCCUGUACAGGGGGAUAACAGUCAGAAAUGACUGCUAAUACCGCAUAAGACCACAGCACCGCAUGGUGCAGGGGUAAAAACUCCGGUGGUACAGGAUGGACCCGCGUCUGAUUAGCUGGUUGGUGAGGUAACGGCUCACCAAGGCGACGAUCAGUAGCCGGCUUGAGAGAGUGAACGGCCACAUUGGGACUGAGACACGGCCCAAACUCCUACGGGAGGCAGCAGUGGGGAAUAUUGCACAAUGGGGGAAACCCUGAUGCAGCGACGCCGCGUGAGUGAAGAAGUAUCUCGGUAUGUAAAGCUCUAUCAGCAGGGAAGAAAAUGACGGUACCUGACUAAGAAGCCCCGGCUAACUACGUGCCAGCAGCCGCGGUAAUACGUAGGGGGCAAGCGUUAUCCGGAAUUACUGGGUGUAAAGGGUGCGUAGGUGGUAUGGCAAGUCAGAAGUGAAAACCCAGGGCUUAACUCUGGGACUGCUUUUGAAACUGUCAGA